CGAGCUGAACGUGCGAGUAGUACUAGGCGGAGUGCAAGUAGGAUUGUUCAAGUCGGCCAACAAAUAGGUAAAGCAAGUGCGAGGGUUUCUUGAUGGUGCGGGGCCUGCCUUGGCCCCGCACGGACCCUUAAUAUAGUGUUGCUCUUUUGGGAGCUGACUAUGGAUUCACUGUAAGAUGGCCGCUGGCCUGCUUAAAUACUAAAGCCUAGGAAUCACAAAUACAAAAUUUGAAAUUUAAAAAUAGUUACAGACCGGUUAUUCAUAUAUCGCUAAAUUUAAAACAUCCUAUUCCGAAAAUAUACAGACUUUGGUAGCAAAUUUAGAAAUCUGAAGGUAACUUGAGGGAUUACGUCAAACAUGUAAAUAAUUAUGUCAAACAAUUAGGAAUGUAGAAAUUAAGAUUAGUUCAGCUACAAAACAAACAAAUAAUAAUAUAUAAUAAAAGGAAAAACAGUGAGAUGCAGAUCAAGGAUAAAAGUAAAGUAACUAGAGCCAGAAAACGCAAUUGAAAGUCAUAACAGUAAAUAUUCAACAAGGAGGAGUUUUAGAAGUGUUCUAUAGGAUUGUUCGAAGGUAAUAAUACUACAACUUGUGUCAUUGGAAGUAUUUCAUUGGCGGGGUCUUCUGUCACAGGUAUUUCAUACUUACUAGAAGACUCCAACCUUUACAAUUGAACCCGUAGUAUUAACAAAUAAAACAUUUUUCAUUUCAUUCUUAAUUAACAUGUGAAUGCAUAAAUUAUUCGCAUUGGUAACAGUUUAUUCGAAGAUAUGACCAUAUAUUAACCUGAAUGCAGAUUUUUGUAUUUUCCAGUCCGCUAAACUUACAUUUUGUACAUUCAUGCUAGCGAUCACUAUGAAGCUCAAAGUUGGUCACGUUUUUUUUUUCAUUUGUAGUCGGCCUCUUUCGCACUCAUGUAAUGUUCAUACUUAAUGUGAUGGUUUCCCUUUUGCACACUUCAAUUAUCUUUAAGCGUAUGCGUCAUUCUAGAUCUAUCACCAAUCAAUGUUGGUUGGUGCUCCCGCUCAAGGCCGCGUACAAAUAAGAUAAAAACCAUAUCAAAUUGUUAAUGCAGAAUCGGCCUAAUUAUCCAUUACCGUCCACUUAAAUGUCAUACUAUGAGGUUUCAAGCAAUUACUACAUACAUACAUAGGUAAUCAUUUAUGUAUGUACUUACUGAACAUGUAAAUUGAAGGCUUAAGCCGUUUCAGGGAAAGGAUUUAGGAUAAUUUUGAUGGAUUUUGGAUGGAUUACGAAAGCCAACCGUGAUUAGGGUUACGCAAACGACACACACACAGAGACAUAUUGGAAAUAUUGUAUACAUUUUCGGACACUAUUUCUUGAAAUUUUGGGUACUAGUGUGUUUCUAAUGACAAUACAAUAAUAUCCUAACAUGGAGUUAAUCUGAUAAUGCCAAAGGAAAUCCUUAAUGGAAAAAUACACGACUGUAAGCUCAUUAGGAAGGUCUCGGAAAGUACUUCAUUUAUGUGUAUACAAAGAUUUCUAAGGAGAGACAGUGCAGUUACUCGCAGCAAUCAAUCCUUACUGUCAAAAUGAAAGUAUCUUAAGAUAUAAAAUAAAACGUGUGUACCUAUCUAUUUUAUAGUAAUGGUUAAGGUUUACUUUGAUUAGUAUUUUUCUGUAACAAAUAAAGCCGAUGAAGCCAACGGUUGCGCAAUAAUUAUAAAUAGGUAAUUGUAGUUUAUGCAUAACAAUCAUAUAACUACUAUUCCCAACUCGAUCCUAGGAGUCGAAAAAUAGGACUUAUUAAAAUCGGAUUCAGAAUCAUAACCAUAAUAAAACCGAUAAAAGAGUUCCCUAAAUUAAUCUACUUCAUAUUCAUUAAAACUUAAGUCAUAAUUUUUUUGACCCCAGAAGCGUUUUAAAGCUGACAUCAAUUUAAAAUAACUUAGCUCCAACCACUCCAUGCGUCAGUAAUGUCACAGUAUAAAUGUCCGCCCAACAGUACUUUAUCGAAACUUUUAAACAUUAAUUACGUUUUACAAAGUUUUUCUAUGCUGCCUCUCCCACGGGGGCUAGUGUGUGACUAGUCGUCUCGCUUUAACGUAUAGCUAUUUCUCUUUAAGCUGUAUUCUUUUAGCUUACCGGAUAUUCGCCUCCAGACAACUAUGCAUAUUUCAAAUUAUAUUGCAUUCCUGGUGUUUCUAUCAUGCUGAUCGUGGUUGCAUAUCAUUUUUAUGCUAAUAUGUCGAUUCAUCGCCAACUUGACAACUUUUUUAGUAGGCUCUAUGGCUGGUUACGCGUGAUCUACUUCUAUUGAUAGAAGUCUUAUCGCCCAAAAUUCUGACGACAAGUUCUGUUUCAAGUAUGAUGCUGCAUAUGUACUUAAGUAUUUAUAUUUAUUCACAGGAACGGUUUGCACUAAUUAGCAAUUUACACUUGCUAUGCUAAUAAACAUCUAGUCAUCUAAACUGUCAUAUCUUCAUUCACUUCACUCUCACAAUAGGCGAGACACCUGAGGUCCAUUUCUCGAACGGUAUUAGUCUAAUAUUAUUAGAAUGUUGCCAUGGUAAUCCAUACGACUUGAGUCGUGGACUAAUAAUAUUAGUCUAAUAUCAUUCGCGAAAUGGGCCUCUGGACAUUAGCCUAGGCCAAUAAUCAGCGAUACAUUAUCCCUGCCACAACAGUGCAAAUUUUAGAAGACUUUAUGAUGUCUUUGUUCAUAAAUUUAUGACUUUUACUCGUCGCCUGAGCUCUCGACUUGCGUGCACUUGAAAAGCGUCUGGAAUAACAUUUAAGGUGGCACUUCCAAGUAAUUAAAGUCCUGGGUUUCUUUGUAAAAAGUUUUAUUUCCUAAAUUGUUCGCUUACCGUGUGGCGGGAUGGACUUUUGAAGUUUUUCUUUUCCGUGUAUUUUGUCGGUUGUAAACGAUUUUUAACGCGAGUUUUUAAUUAUAGGGGAUUUUCGUGGUAAUUUAAAUAUUUAUGUUUGUAUUUGGUGCUGAAGGUAGAUUUGUUUUUAAUGAUAUACGGACAGGAGAAAAUGAAAUAAGAGCAGGUGCACUCUCUCUUUUAUGUUCUAAACAACGUCUUAAGCUUUCUUUGUACUUUUCAUGCACGUUUAGAAUAUGAGUUUGAUAUAAAAAUAAUAUUACUUUACUUUGCAAUUUUCUUUCUUAUUUGUCGCAAAAGUUUAGAAUAGAAUGCGUCUGAAUUGGAUUUAAAUAUAAAAAGAACCGAACAUAAAGUCAACAAAGGGUAGAUCUUCGUGAUUUUGGAAACAGAGGGAGCAGAGUUCAACAAAAAAGAGUUUAAUUUUAAAUUAAAUGUCAGCUAUUGUGGAUUUUUUAUUUAUUUUAUUGACGCUUUGGGUCAUUCUUCAAACUGUAUACCGCGAUCGUAUAUAGCCGUUGAAAGGCUACCCAAAGGUUGUCUGGAAGAGAUCGCUUUUUAGCGAUAAGACCGCCUGUUGUCUGCCUCUACAUUAAAUCAAUUGUUUAUUUCUCUUGUAUCUUUUUACUGAGGUGUGCCAAUAAAGAGUAUUCUAUCUAUCUAUCUAUCUAUCUUUUUUUUACAAGAAACUAGCUUUUUAGCGUAUUAAUAAAAAGAUCAUAAUAACUCUUUUAUGAUAAAACUCUUGAUUUUUUAGGAAAUAAUAUCACAUUUUUCUGAAAUAUUCCUAAAUAUCACUGGAAAAGUCAAUAGAAUAGAAUCAUCCCAACAUUUCUAAGAUAAAUUAUUUCACUUAGUACUUAUGUACAACCACAUUAUCAUUGGCCUUUAACAUCAAUUAAAUUAUGGGUUAAACAGCGCCCAUAACAUUGCGGCACUUACGUAAAUGACUAGUAAGUCCAACCACAACAUAAAAAAUUAGCUACCUUUUCUUAC